rnacentral:rRNA from 1 species
CAUGCAAGUCGAACGGUAGCACAGGAGAGCUUGCUCUCGGGUGACGAGCUGGCGGACGGGUGAGUAAUGUCUGGGAAACUGCCCGAUGGAGGGGGAUAACUACUGGAAACGGUAGCUAAUACCGCAUAACGUCGCAAGACCAAAGAGGGGGACCUUCGGGCCUCUUGCCAUCGGAUGUGCCCAGAUGGGAUUAGCUUGUAGGUGAGGUAACGGCUCACCUAGGCGACGAUCCCUAACUGGUCUGAGAGGAUGACCAGCCACACUGGAACUGAGACACGGUCCAGACUCCUACGGGAGGCAGCAGUGGGGAAUAUUGCACAAUGGGCGCAAGCCUGAUGCAUCCAUGCCGCGUGUAUGAAGAAGGCCUUCGGGUUGUAAAGUACUUUCAGCGGGGAGGAAGGGAGUGAGGUUAAUAACCUCAUUCAUUGACGUUACCCGCAGAAGAAGCACCGGCUAACUCCGUGCCAGCAGCCGCGGUAAUACGGAGGGUGCAAGCGUUAAUCGGAAUUACUGGGCGUAAAGCGCACGCAGGCGGUCUGUCAAGUCGGAUGUGAAAUCCCCGGGCUCAACCUGGGAACUGCAUUCGAAACUGGCAGGCUGGAGUCUUGUACAGGGGGGUAGAAUUCCAGGUGUAGCGGUGAAAUGCGUACAGAUCUGGAGGAAUACCGGUGGCGAAGGCGGCCCCCUGGACAAAGACUGA